CAAGGGGUCUACAAGUCAUUCAGGUGAAAGAGUGACUUUCUGCUGUGUUUUUCAUGUCUAUUUAUUUGCUCUCCCAGAAAAGACAAUGUAUUUCGAGACGUCAAAAUAUUUUGUUCGCCUUCAUUUGAUUGUAAGAGGAGCCUUAGGUGAGAAAUCACAUUGACUGCAGGAGCAAGUGGGCUGCAGCGCUGGAAACAGGAGUCCUUGGUUUCACACUACAGCUGAGUUUUACCCAAG
rnacentral:lncRNA from 1 species